GGCGAACGGGUGAGUAACACGUGAGUAACCUGCCCUUAACUCUGGGAUAAGCCUGGGAAACUGGGUCUAAUACCGGAUAUGACUCCUCAUCGCAUGGUGGGGGGUGGAAAGCUUUUUAUGGUUUUGGAUGGACUCGCGGCCUAUCAGCUUGUUGGUGAGGUAAUGGCUCACCAAGGCGACGACGGGUAGCCGGCCUGAGAGGGUGACCGGCCACACUGGGACUGAGACACGGCCCAGACUCCUACGGGAGGCAGCAGUGGGGAAUAUUGCACAAUGGGCGCAAGCCUGAUGCAGCGACGCCGCGUGAGGGAUGACGGCCUUCGGGUUGUAAACCUCUUUCAGUAGGGAAGAAGCGAAAGUGACGGUACCUGCAGAAGAAGCGCCGGCUAACUACGUGCCAGCAGCCGCGGUAAGACGUAGGGCGCGAGCGUUGUCCGGAUUUAUUGGGCGUAAAGGGCUCGUAGGCGGUUGAUUGCGUCCGCCGUGAAAGGCCUCGGCUUAACCGGGGUUUUGCGGUGGAUACGGGUCGACUUGAGGCAAUUAGGGGAGAUCGGAAUUCUACGUGUAGCGGUGAAAUGCGCAGAUAUGUGGAGGAACACCGGUGGCGAAGGCGGAUCUCUGGGAUUGUUCUGACGCUGAGGAGCGAAAGCGUGGGGAGCGAACAGGAUUAGAUACCCUGGUAGUCC
rnacentral:rRNA from 1 species